UGAUGUUGGUUCAGUCAAUAAAUAAGUCACUCCAAGGCUUUCUGGAAGUCAUGUUCUUGCCUUUUAUAACUUAUGAUUUCAUAAACAUUGCUAGACUAUAUUAUUCUGUUACAGGUUUCUUUUAAAGUUCACGGGAAGAGGUGAAGAGAUUAAUCUCAUGGGGUGAUGGAUCUGAAAAGCCAGAAUUUGAGUAGUAGUCAUGGAUGUUUCCAGAACAAUUGUUAGAGCUUGUAAGUGAACCUUAACAGCAUAAAUCAUACUCACGAAUUGGUGGAUUUUGAUGGGAUCGAUACUUCUAAUACGUUUUGUGGUUUCUACGAGGUGUUUAGUCCCUAUCUUAUGGAGCAUGUGAACUACGGCAAUUAAUCUUCACCUGAAAAAAAGAAGCUGAUGGCAGAGAAGUGCACUGGCAAGUUUUGUGGUUUCUACGAGGCAUUUUUCAGGUAGUUCUCGCUGGGUUUUCUUUAGAUUUGGCAGUCACAUGGGACAGAAUGUUCCUUUUUGAUAAAUGUUAAAUGGCCAAUUGCUCUGGUUACCUGAAAAAGGGAAGCUGAUUGAUGAGAAGUGCCCCUGGAAGUUCCAAUGGUUUAAUGAGGAAACUUUCAGGUAGUAUUCACUGGAUUUUCUUUUAAUUUAGCAAUUACAUGGAACGUGUAGACGAUAAACGUCCAAAAUUAUGAAGGCGGCCACCGGUAAUCUGCAAGUUCAGAACAGUAAAGACCGUGACGUUGGUAACACCGGGUCCCUGUAUUUAUAGUCACCAAUCACCAAAUCACGAGGGGCUCACGGGAGAGCACCUGUCUAGGGUCUCCCAUGCUGAUAUUCUUUAAUCGCCCCGUUAAAAGGCAAAGAGGUCAACGAAAAGAAGUGUUGUCUGGACUCAAAAGCAAUGGUCCGGCUGGAACAAGAUCAUGGGCCCAAGAUGAGAUCAGUGAGCAAGAAGAAAGUGGGCUUGUCUUGUUUGGGCCUCAGCCUUGGUUGAACUUUGGGCAACCGCUGGAGUGCUGGACCUAUAUUCCAUUUUAGGCCACAGGCUUAUUUUGGGCUUGCUCGGAUUGUGGGCAUGAGGCCUCUUGUUUGGGCCGGGAGCCUGGGUUGAACUUUGGGCAAACGCUAGAACUAUAUUCCAUUUUAGGCCGAAAGCUUAUUGGGCUAGCUCAGAUUGUGGUGGUCCUGAUAGGCCUCUCCUUGACCCUGACCCAAGGGCUCAUACCUUUUGUCUAACUCUUGGACCUGCUAACCGGAGACACGUCUGGUACGAUUUUGGCCCAUACAGAACACAAUGUUCCUUUUCAUAAAUUUCUUGUUCGGAAAGGGACUUUGUCGCAACAGUCAUUGGCUUCGAUAGUUUUUUCGUUGUCCUGCAAUUUGAGAUCUAGACUGGUUUAGAAUGUGAAAGUUGAAGAAGAUGAAACUAGACAAUCCUUUCGUUGUCCUGAAAUUUGUACUAGCAUCCAAAACUAAAGUCGAAGGCUAUUUUUACAUUUCUCAUCAAAUUAUUAAUUUCCUAGAUUAUCAACGAAGGACCAUCAAAUUGUGCCCAUCCAUUUGGGUUAAUAACUCCACAAACUAUCAACAAAGAUAAGACUCGCUCCAUCCUUGGGCUAUAGAUACUGGCUGAUGUGGCUUUCUGUAGAUUCGUUGCCAUAUAAAUAAAAAA